UCGUCAUUAGUGCAAACGGUUCAGCACGCCCUCUCGGAAAGAGUGAGAUCUGGGUUCAAAUCUCAGCUGACGAA